rnacentral:other from 1 species
AUAGAUCUGCGGUGUACGGAGUCCGACGCUAAACGGAAUCCACAUUAUAAAAUAGGGAGCAAGUUAUUCAGGACGAUAGGCAAGGUCUGUUUUACGGAAAGCCCGACGCGUUCAGAUACGGCACCCACCUGCUGAAAACGCGGGUUCAACUUUCGUCGGGGUGCGGCACAGGCGGAUUUCUU